rnacentral:rRNA from 1 species
UCCUUCGGGGUGAGUGGCAGACGGGUGAGUAACGCGUGGGAACGUGCCCUUCAGUUCGGAAUAACCCAGGGAAACUUGGGCUAAUACCGGAUACGUGCGAGAGCAGAAAGAUUUAUCGCUGAAGGAUCGGCCCGCGUCUGAUUAGCUUGUUGGUGGGGUAAUGGCCCACCAAGGCGACGAUCAGUAGCUGGUCUGAGAGGAUGAUCAGCCACAUUGGGACUGAGACACGGCCCAAACUCCUACGGGAGGCAGCAGUGGGGAAUAUUGGACAAUGGGCGCAAGCCUGAUCCAGCCAUGCCGCGUGAGUGAUGAAGGCCUUAGGGUUGUAAAGCUCUUUCAGCGGGGACGAUAAUGACGGUACCCGCAGAAGAAGCCCCGGCUAACUUCGUGCCAGCAGCCGCGGUAAUACGAAGGGGGCUAGCGUUGUUCGGAAUCACUGGGCGUAAAGGGCGCGUAGGCGGCUUUGUAAGUCGGGGGUGAAAGCCUGUGGCUCAACCACAGAAUUGCCUUCGAUACUGCAUGGCUUGAGACCGGAAGAGGUUAGUGGAACUGCGAGUGUAGAGGUGAAAUUCGUAGAUAUUCGCAAGAACACCAGUGGCGAAGGCGGCUGACUGGUCCGGUUCUGACGCUGAGGCGCGAAAGCGUGGGGAGCAAACAGGAUUAGAUACCCUGGUAGUCCACGCCGUAAACGAUGAAUGCCAGCCGUUGGCGAGCUUGCUCGUCAGUGGCGCAGCUAACGCUUUAAGCAUUC